AUUGAACGCUGGCGGCAUGCCUUACACAUGCAAGUCGAACGGCAGCGGACCUUCGGGUGCCGGCGAGUGGCGAACGGGUGAGUAAUAUAUCGGAACGUACCUUUCAGUGGGGGAUAACGUAGCGAAAGUUACGCUAAUACCGCAUAUUCUGUGAGCAGGAAAGCAGGGGAUCGCAAGACCUUGCGCUGAUUGAGCGGCCGAUAUCGGAUUAGCUAGUUGGUGAGGUAAAGGCUCACCAAGGCGACGAUCUGUAGCGGGUCUGAGAGGAUGAUCCGCCACACUGGAACUGAGACACGGUCCAGACUCCUACGGGAGGCAGCAGUGGGGGAAUUUUGGACAAUGGGGGCAACCCUGAUCCAGCCAUUCCGCGUGAGUGAAGAAGGCCUCGGUUGUAAGNGUACUUUCUAGUCAGGAACGAAACGGUAGGUCCCGUAA
rnacentral:rRNA from 1 species